GCCAGCGGUUGGUGGGGCCAGAGACAAAAGUUGGCAAGAGCCUUUGUUGCAGCUGUGCAAGAGGGAGAGCUUCUAGGUGUUCGACAUGCAUCUCUGCGUCCAGGCAGGCAAGAGGAUGCUUCCAGACAACCAGUUCAACGAUGCUACGCCAAAGCAAGAACUGCUCCACGGUUUCCGGCGCAUUUCCCAGUCACUUCCCUUACAGCAAACAGCCCACUCCCUGGAGGAAGGAAGCAGGUUUGUUGCAGCAGAGUGCCCAACCAGCCGGAAUUGUGCCACCUCAAUAUGUCAAGUAUGCUGCUGAAUCCCGUCCAAAAAUAGCAGCAGUCCGGAAGCACCCUGAGGAAGCCUUGUCCACGCACCACAGAAUCCCCGCAGGACAUUUUGCUGCCUGGGGUGGAGCAGCAAAUGCCUCCUUUCCCUCCAUCCACGGUCAAGUUGUAUAGUCUUCCCCUCAACGUGCACAGAAACUGGCUUUGAAAGGAGCAUCUUCUCUCAGAUACGGAGCAAAGAGAUUCCACAGCUAUUCCACCUGCCUGCUCUUCCCAAAAGAGUCCCCCUGUAGACCUAGCAGAUCCCGUCCUAAAGUCCCAAGAUGUGCUCACAGAUGAUCACAAAGCAACAGAUUUGGCUCAUUUUCACGGUUUCUACAUUUUUAAAUCUUUCCCAAGCAGGAAAGUACACACAGCUUUUGAUUUCCCUCCUUGCUUUGGGGG